CCGCCCCGAAUUGUAGUCUAGAAAUGCGCCAUCGGCCGCGCCCGUCGCUCAAAUCCCUUGGAACAGGGUAUCGGAGAAGGUGAGAAUCCUGUACCGUGGCGGAUCGCGGCCGCACGAUGCGUUUUUACAGAGUCGGGUUGCUUGGGAUUGCAGCUUGAAUUGGGAGGUAAAUUCCUUCUAAAGCUAAAUACUGGCUCAUGACCGAUAGCGAACAAGUACCGUGAGGGAAAGAUGCAAAGAACUUUGAAAAGAGAGUUAAAGAGUGCUUGAAAUCGGAGUGAGGAAACCCGUUUGCGCCCGGUUUCGCGCCAUCGACUCAGCCGUCUCGAAGCGGUGCACUUUGAUGGUGCGGGUCCUACGCGAUUGCUGCUGCGUCACAACCACCCGGGGGGCUUCGGUGAGCCGGGACAUGACGCGGUGGUGAUCUCGUCGGACAGAACGGGCGCAACCGACCCGUCUAGAAACACGGACCAAGGAGUCUGACACGGAUGCGAGUACCCGGGUGGUAAGCCCGCGUGCGCAAUGAAAGUAAAGGGCGUGCUCCGCCAACCGACCUUGAUCUUCUGUGAAGGGUUUGAGUCGAGCAUCACUGUCGGGACCCGAAAGAUGGUGAACUAUGCCUGAAUAGGUUGAAGUCUGCUGAAAGGCAGAUGGAGGACCGUAGCGAUACUGACGUGCAAAUCGUUCGUCGAAUUUGGGUAUAGGGGCGAAAGACUAAUCGAACCAUCUAGUAGCUGGUUCCCUCCGAAGUUUCCCUCAGGAUAGCUUGGACGCAAGGGUUUUGU
rnacentral:rRNA from 1 species